rnacentral:rRNA from 1 species
GGGUUGUGAGGUUAAGCGACUAAGCGUACACGGUGGAUGCCCUGGCAGUCAGAGGCGAUGAAGGGCGUGCUAAUCUGCGAUAAGCGCCGGUAAGGUGAUAUGAACCGUUAUAACCGGCGAUACCCGAAUGGGGAAACCCAGUGUGAUUCGUCACACUAUCAUUAACUGAAUCCAUAGGUUAAUGAGGCGAACCGGGGGAACUGAAACAUCUAAGUACCCCGAGGAAAAGAAAUCAACCGAGAUUCCCCCAGUAGCGGCGAGCGAACGGGGAGGAGCCCAGAGCCUGAAUCAGCAUGUGUGUUAGUGGAAGCGUCUGGAAAGGCGCGCGAUACAGGGUGACAGCCCCGUACACAAAAGCGCAUGUGCUGUGAGCUCGAUGAGUAGGGCGGGACACGUGGUAUCCUGUCUGAAUAUGGGGGGACCAUCCUCCAAGGCUAAAUACUCCUGACUGACCGAUAGUGAACCAGUACCGUGAGGGAAAGGCGAAAAGAACCCCGGCGAGGGGAGUGAAAAAGAACCUGAAACCGUGUACGUACAAGCAGUGGGAGCNNNNNNNNNNNNNNNNNNNNNNNNNNNNNNNNNNNNNNNNNNNNNNGGGCGUUAAGUUGCAGGGUAUAGACCCGAAACCCGGUGAUCUAGCCAUGGGCAGGUUGAAGGUUGGGUAACACUAACUGGAGGACCGAACCGACUAAUGUUGAAAAAUUAGCGGAUGACCUGUGGCUGGGGGUGAAAGGCCAAUCAAACCGGGAGAUAGCUGGUUCUCCCCGAAAGCUAUUUAGGUAGCGCCUCGUGAAUUCAUCUCCGGGGGUAGAGCACUGUUUCGGCUAGGGGGCCAUCCCGGCUUACCAACCCGAUGCAAACUGCGAAUACCGGAGAAUGUUAUCACGGGAGACACACGGCGGGUGCUAACGUCCGUCGUGAAGAGGGAAACAACCCAGACCGCCAGCUAAGGUCCCAAAGUCAUGGUUAAGUGGGAAACGAUGUGGGAAGGCCCAGACAGCCAGGAUGUUGGCUUAGAAGCAGCCAUCAUUUAAAGAAAGCGUAAUAGCUCACUGGUCGAGUCGGCCUGCGCGGAAGAUGUAACGGGGCUAAACCAUGCACCGAAGCUGCGGCAGCGACACUGUGUGUUGUUGGGUAGGGGAGCGUUCUGUAAGCCUGCGAAGGUGGCCUGUGAGGGUUGCUGGAGGUAUCAGAAGUGCGAAUGCUGACAUAAGUAACGAUAAAGCGGGUGAAAAGCCCGCUCGCCGGAAGACCAAGGGUUCCUGUCCAACGUUAAUCGGGGCAGGGUGAGUCGACCCCUAAGGCGAGGCCGAAAGGCGUAGUCGAUGGGAAACGGGUUAAUAUUCCCGUACUUGGUGUUACUGCGAAGGGGGGACGGAGAAGGCUAUGUUGGCCGGGCGACGGUUGUCCCGGUUUAAGCGUGUAGGUGUGUGUUCCAGGUAAAUCCGGUUCACUUUAACACUGAGGCGUGACGACGAGGCACUACGGUGCUGAAGCAACAAAUGCCCUGCUUCCAGGAAAAGCCUCUAAGCAUCAGGUAACAUCAAAUCGUACCCCAAACCGACACAGGUGGUCAGGUAGAGAAUACCAAGGCGCUUGAGAGAACUCGGGUGAAGGAACUAGGCAAAAUGGUGCCGUAACUUCGGGAGAAGGCACGCUGACACGUAGGUGAAGUGAUUUACUCAUGGAGCUGAAGUCAGUCGAAGAUACCAGCUGGCUGCAACUGUUUAUUAAAAACACAGCACUGUGCAAACACGAAAGUGGACGUAUACGGUGUGACGCCUGCCCGGUGCCGGAAGGUUAAUUGAUGGGGUCAGCGCAAGCGAAGCUCCUGAUCGAAGCCCCGGUAAACGGCGGCCGUAACUAUAACGGUCCUAAGGUAGCGAAAUUCCUUGUCGGGUAAGUUCCGACCUGCACGAAUGGCGUAAUGAUGGCCAGGCUGUCUCCACCCGAGACUCAGUGAAAUUGAACUCGCUGUGAAGAUGCAGUGUACCCGCGGCAAGACGGAAAGACCCCGUGAACCUUUACUAUAGCUUGACACUGAACAUUGAGCCUUGAUGUGUAGGAUAGGUGGGAGGCUUUGAAGUGUGGACGCCAGUCUGCAUGGAGCCGACCUUGAAAUACCACCCUUUAAUGUUUGAUGUUCUAACGUGGACCCGUUACCCGGGUUGCGGACAGUGUCUGGUGGGUAGUUUGACUGGGGCGGUCUCCUCCUAAAGAGUAACGGAGGAGCACGAAGGUUGGCUAAUCCUGGUCGGACAUCAGGAGGUUAGUGCAAUGGCAUAAGCCAGCUUGACUGCGAGCGUGACGGCGCGAGCAGGUGCGAAAGCAGGUCAUAGUGAUCCGGUGGUUCUGAAUGGAAGGGCCAUCGCUCAACGGAUAAAAGGUACUCCGGGGAUAACAGGCUGAUACCGCCCAAGAGUUCAUAUCGACGGCGGUGUUUGGCACCUCGAUGUCGGCUCAUCACAUCCUGGGGCUGAAGUAGGUCCCAAGGGUAUGGCUGUUCGCCAUUUAAAGUGGUACGCGAGCUGGGUUUAGAACGUCGUGAGACAGUUCGGUCCCUAUCUGCCGUGGGCGCUGGAGAACUGAGGGGGGCUGCUCCUAGUACGAGAGGACCGGAGUGGACGCAUCACUGGUGUUCGGGUUGUCAUGCCAAUGGCACUGCCCGGUAGCUAAAUGCGGAAGAGAUAAGUGCUGAAAGCAUCUAAGCACGAAACUUGCCCCGAGAUGAGUUCUCCCUGAGACUUAGAGUCUCCUGAAGGAACGUUGAAGACGACGACGUUGAUAGGCCGGGUGUGUAAGCGCAGCGAUGCGUUGAGCUAACCGGUACUAAUGAACCGUGAGGCUUAACCUUACAACGCCGAAG